CAUAGCACCACUACUGACAAGUCCCCACCACAAAGAACAAGCUACAUGGCUCAACCUAGAAAAAAGCCACACAGACGGCAACCCCCUACUGACACUAGCUUGGCUACCGAAAUCACGAAGACCAAAGUACACCACCAUGCUGCCCACGACCACCCUUUCACUCUCCCUGUGGGACAACUACAAGAAGAAGAUGACCAAUACCGACCUGAUCUUACUGGCCCUACCACUGGAAACAAUCAAGUUUCACAUAUCGAACUUUAACUACAAC